rnacentral:rRNA from 1 species
AUUCCAGCUCCAAUAGCGUAUAUUAAAGUUGUUGCAGUUAAAAAGCUCGUAGUUGGAGUUCGGGGAAAGCUCAGUCGGUCGGCCUAAUGGGUCAGAACUGGCUGACUCUCUCUUGUUUGCGGAUCCCUCCCGGAGUUAACUCUUCAGGUUGUGGAGUCCGCAUCGUUUACCUUGAAAAAAUUAGAGUGUUCAAAGCAGGCGUUUGCUUGAAUAUAUUAGCAUGGAAUAAUGGAAUAGGACCCUGGUUCUAUUUUGUUGGUUUUGAGAGCCAGAGUAAUGAUUAAUAGUGAUAGUUGGGGGCAUUCAUAUUUCAUUGUCAGAGGUGAAAUUCUUGGAUUUAUGAAAGAUGAACUUCUGCGAAAGCAUUUGCCAAGGAUGUUUUCAUCA